AACGAUCUCACGCGAUGACGGGUAGCCGGCCUGAGAGGGCGACCGGCCACACUGGGACUGAGACACGGCCCAGACUCCUACGGGAGGCAGCAGUGGGGAAUAUUGCACAAUGGGCGAAAGCCUGAUGCAGCGACGCCGCGUGGGGGAUGACGGCCUUCGGGUUGUAAACCCCUUUCAGUAGGGAAGAAGCGAAAGUGACGGUACCUGCAGAAGAAGCGCCGGCUAACUACGUGCCAGCAGCCGCGGUAAUACGUAGGGCGCAAGCGUUGUCCGGAAUUAUUGGGCGUAAAGAGCUCGUAGGUGGCUUGUCGCGUCUGCCGUGAAAACCCGAGGCUCAACCUCGGGCGUGCGGUGGGUACGGGCAGGCUAGAGUGUGGUAGGGGAGACUGGACCUCCUGUGGUACCGGGAAAGGGUUUAAAAACAGGAAGGACUUUUUUUUGCCAAAGGCGGUCUCUGGGUCAGUUUUUGCCCCGAGGAGCAAAAUCCCCAGUUGCGGACUCCAUUAGGAUUCCGGGGCGUUCCUCCCCCAAUUUUGGCGGUUUAUCUUUUGGGGCC
rnacentral:rRNA from 1 species